CCGGACGGCACUCGCGUGCCAAUGGGCACGUGGACGGGAGCGGUGCCCAGGGGGGCGUGGCCGGACCGAGACCUCCCCCGGCGGCUCCCCUGCGCCUGCCUCGGCAAUGCAAGCACGGUCUGCUACCCUUUGGAUCCCCGCGCUGCCCUUCUGCAGACCUGGCCGGGCUGCGAUGAGGAACACAGAUGAGACUGCUGGGUCCGGGUGUGGAUCGCUGUCCUGCAUGUGCUGUCGUUAUCAUCCCAGAGCACAUUGGCAGAGCACCCACACAACCACAACCACAGAAACAGAGUCUGAAAAUAGUCUACAAUUCUGACAAGCUACGGAAUGGGCAGCUCGCAAAAUGUGAAAUGGAGGUAAAUUCCAAUGUUAAACACAGAAUGGGAAUCUGAUUUGCAUCCCAGUGUUUCUAGACGGGAGUAAAAUCUGCUCAGUAUGUGGUAAUGCAGUUGUCGUAAGACCCAGUGACCUAACCUCGCACACACAUUGUGGUUCGAAGCUGCCUGGUCUGCACACUGUCCAGAUCCCGGCUCUUGGCGCGGAAGAGGGAGAAUCUGGGUCAGAGCAAAGCCACCCUCGUUCUCGUGAGCUGGGGGACGAAGCUUGAGAGAGCUCUGGCUCCCUGUGAGUUAAUCAAUAUACCAGGCCGGUCCCCCUGGCUGUGCCAGCUGGCAGAGAGGAGAGUUAGGGAAGAGGAGGGGUGGGGUGUGGGGGCUCUCCUUGGUCCCUGAAAGAAUGGCAAUAAUUUAUCUGGAGAAUCUGUGAUUCAUCUCUCAGCCCCGGGAGCCCCAGAGAAGAAAGAAAACAGCACAGACGGACCCCCCUCUCCCCCCCUCUCUCUAGUAAAGGCAGCGUGGGGGCAGGGGGUGCCGGAAUACGUUUGCGGACAUUCCUGAAAUGUAAGAUCCCAAGUGGCAACUCCAGUCUGGGAUUGCAUUCAUGGGGAAUGGCUCAAAGUUAAAAACACAGAACAAAAGUAAAAAACAGGAGUGUCUCUGGACGGGGAAAGGCACUAAGUAAACAAGCCAAGCGCAGUGCACUCCCCCGAUCGCUGACAGUUUCCUAACGUGCGCCCUGCCAGCGGGCUCUGAGGCCAUCGAGAGGGGCCUCUGCACCACAGACCCACAGACGAGCGAGCGAGGGUCCUGAACACCUCAGCCCGGGACCAGCCCUGCCCACACUGAGCGAGGGUCCUUAACGCCUCAGCCCGGGACCAGCCCUGCCCCACAGACCCACAGACGAGCAAGAGAGGGUCCUUAACGCCUCAGCCCGGGACCAGCCCUGCCCACAGCGAGCGAGGGUCCUGAACGCCUCAGCCCCGGACCAGCUCUGCCCAC